rnacentral:lncRNA from 1 species
CCUGGCGUACCGCUCGGUACACCGUACCAUACGUACCGAGCCAGCCUCGAAACACCGGUACGACACGAUAUUGCAGACCUUGUUAUCUUCUAUGUGUAAUGGUCCAAUUCACCUUAUAAAAUCAACUGGAUGCUCCAAUAAAAAAAUGAACACCGCAUGUUGGAAGUUGUUGACAGCUGUUGAGACUGCUGAAAAAAUUUGUUGCAUGUCUGCCUCCCCUUUCUUUCCUCCUCUUCAACAGCUAUUUGACUCCCGGUUGCCGCAACCACAUAAAAAUCCACCUCCUUCAAUUAAUAAUGUUGCGUCCUCAUGCCACUGCUGGCACCUCCUUCAGCACACAUCACUAUCUCAUCCUCAUCUCAUUUCUCUCUCUUUCUCGCUAUUCCAAUCAGUAGUGACUCCUACCAAGUGUCCUUCUCACUAAUCCAGUCAGUAGUGACUCAUUCGAAGUGUCAAUAUUGCAAUCCAUAUUGGUACUACUUACUGGUCCUCACGUCAACCAGUGUCAGCAUUGAACCAAGAUUUUAAAUGAAUCACAAUCGAUAUGAACCUCAUAAUAACCAUAAAACAUGCUCAAUUUAAUAUUACAUAUCAUGUUAUUUAUUCAGGACUUGGGUAACCAUAAAUUUCAUGGGGAUUAUAUACUAUAAAAUACUGGAAUUUUUAAUUUUGACAUGUUUUCAAAUUAGCUUGAAAAUAUACAAAUUGGCCUGUUUCAUUUUCUAUAGAUCUCUGUAAAAGAGAAAUAAAAUCGAACAUUUGUUAUCACAUCGUUGGUUUAACUACUUCAUUUCAGAUAGGUCCACUUGUGUCCUGGAAGGAGCUCUAAAUAUCUUGUUUUCCCAUUUCUUAAGUUUUAUCACUGAUCUCAAGUCAAAUGAGUAAACUUGGGUGACAAAGUCUGAGCAGGAACACCAUGAAUGCAAAACAAUUUUAGAUAAGUUUCAGACUCCAUUUAGGUUAUCAUGUACUGGAAGGAAGCUGAAAUUUUUCUUGCAUUACCAUUUCUUAAAGCUUUGACACUAAUCUAAUAAUAAACAUCAGUUACUGGGUGACAAAUUUGAUUAAGCAGGAACACCAUGAACUUUCCUAAUUUAGUUUUAAGUCUGAGAAAGCACUAAGUAUUUUCUUAAAUUAUUUGAUAAAAUUGAUCUAAAUGCAUAUUGGGCCAUUUGGUAUUCCAUUAACAUUGAUAAUAUGUCGAAGGUGACAAUAAAUUAGUUUGACUAAAGAAGUAUAAAAUAAUGUUAUUUGAUACUUCCAUACUUCCAUGUGAAGCUGCAUAAAUUGCGUCUGAUACACAUCCACGAGUUGGAAAUAUUGAUGAUAGAAUUUAAAUGCCAAUUUGGAGUAAAAUGCGCCCAUACAAAGUAUAAUAUAUGGACAUCAAAAAGGAACUCUGGUUAUAAAGUGUUAUAUAAAUUAUAAACUAUGUUAUGUUAUUUGCAUCCAUAGUUCCUUACAAUAGUAAAUACUUCAAUGCAUAACAACAAGUGUAUAUACGAAAUAUGCAUGAAUAACAUGAAAACCAUGUUCUCUUCAUUUUGUUGGUAAUAUUAUCAAUACAGCUAUAGGAGAGCUUCCUUAUCAUAGAGACCAAUUUUUGACAUCAAGCAUCAUAAAUUCUAUCACAUUUCAUCGGCAAUGGAAAGAACAAAAAAUGAUUUUAAGAUUAAAAAAUAGUUCACACUCAUACUAAAGGCUGUUAUUCUAUGUCAGACCUGAAGAACUGGAAGACAAGCAUUUGUUCGCUUAGCCUGAGCAUUCUUCAUAAAAUGUGAUUCAUCUGCAAUGACAAUCUGAGCAGGUACAAUCAGAACUAAAACCACAGAAGACAUUCCAAGGAUUCUAUGAAAAAAUAUAAGAUACGAGGACACUAGAUGAAUAUAUCUGCUACAAUUGAAAACCAGAAUAGUGCAUGAAUUUCUUAUAUUAAAAAAAGAAGACGAAGAAGAUCACAAUUGCAGCAAACAAAAUGAAUGUCAAAUUUAUUUUUUUAACCAUCUGGUUUACAAUGGUGCAAAAAUCUUAACACCAAAAGAAAAAAAAAAUACGGAUGAAAAUCUUAGGUAAAAGUUUCAAACCAACAUGCUCGGCGUCAGUUUACUUGCAUUAACAAAACCAUAUAAAGUGUUUUUGUUGUAGUGAUUUAAAAAGCGCUAGGCGCCAAGGUCGAAAAACGCCCGAGGCGCUAGACGCUUGCACAGGCGCUCGCCCGAACGAAGCGAGACGCUAAAAUAUAAAAAUAUAUAAUAUAAUUAAUAUAAUUAUUUAAAUAAAAAAAUAUGUUAUUAAAUUAAGAAAAUCGGGUACAAAAUCACAAUGUCAUAUUAAUAAAAAGUCUCAAAAAUCAAAACAAUAAAAUUUUACAUCAAAUCUAUUGAGUUGCUUUGUACACUUGCCAUUUAUUCUGAAACCUAACAAUAAUUUUAAAUAAAUAAAAACUAAUAGUAUUAAAAUCAAAAUAAUAUAUUAUUAAUCAAAUAAAUAAAAUUAUUAUUAUUAGUAUACGAUUAGUAGUAUACUAUUAAUAUACUGUUAACAGUAUAGUGAGAAGAGUGUGAGAAGACCGAGGCUGAUGAGACAACGACAACGGUAGCAGGCGACAGUGGUCGUUGGAGCGGGAGCAACGAGCGAGAGCGGGAGUGGGAGCGGGAGAUGCGAGCGGCAACGACGAGCGACAGCGCGAGCGACGACAAUAGCGGCAAGCGACGAUUAUGGCAACGGUGAGAAGAAAUCUCAGCGGCAACGAUUGUAGCAGCGGUAGCAGAGAGCAGCGACAUCAGAGAAGAAAUCUCAGCAGCAAAAUCGCGAGUGUUAGGGUUGGGGAAGUCGGGGAAAUUGCGAGAGGGAGCCUGAUAUUGGUGAUUUAGUUGGUUCGAUUGAACCAACUAACGCACCGGAGACCGAACCAGACGUAAAACACUGGUUCGGUCGCCUGGUUUAACCCUGGCGCUCGCUCAAUGCGCCCGACGCCGGGGCUCGAGCAGGCGCCUAGGCGGCGCCUCUUUGAAGCGAGGCACGUGGACAUGAAGCGAGGCGCUCCGGCCUCGCCUCGCACGAGCGCCUAUUGAAAUCGCUGUCUUGUUGUCAUCUCGAUUAACAGUAUUGUUCUAAUCUUGGAAACGCCAAUACUCUCAAUGAGCUUCCUUUUUCUUUCCUUUCAAAGGCAUAACUAGUGGCCUUCAAACCUAAAACCAUCCAACUUUGUGGGUUAUCAAGAUUUAAUAGAAAAAGAAAACAAACUAUGAGAUGUCAGAUGAAAAAAAGAAAGUAACAUAAUGACUUCACCAAUUUGUGGCACAAGAAAGACACAAAUAAAUGCUCUAACCCUGAAAAAGUUGACUGAGUUCUCCUUAGAUAUUUUCUUUCAAACGCAUAAUCAGUAAAUUGCAACUGAUCCAACUACAGAUGGAGCUCUGUUAAGCACAUCGACUGAACCAAUUGCAUGCAAAAAUGUUGGCUUGUCUUAUCAACGCAUUUGACAUAAAUAAUUUCUAAACUAAUUUGACAGUCAAAUCUAUUAAAUUACAAAGAAUAGGCACUAUUUUGUUUCUUAGUUGAACCAAAAGAUACACAAAACACAUUUGAGCCAGCACCUUGGCAAAGCCGGUCAGGUUGCCGAGAGAUUAUCCAAGACACAUUUUAGGGGAACAAAAUUACAUACUAUUGACUACUGAGUCACCAAGACUCUGAAGAACAUAAAUGUUUCCAUCGUUGUGCCGAAAAGAAUGCAAGAUGCAGCACCAAGUUAAGGUUUAAUCAUUAUGGAAGUUAUUUUUCUGGAUAGAUCAUGCUCCUAUCAAGCCAGUACAUGCCUGAUACAGUAAAACAUCCUCUUGUACCUUGCUGUAUACCACAGCACAUGCCAUAUGUUGUUUGAAACUAGUUUUGUUCAAAAACUUAAAGUUACUCUACUUUUCCCUGUGAUAACCACAGUAAGUAUAACAUGAAAGUGCACAAGAUCAGUGUUGAUGUACUAUUUGAUGCCCUAACGGAAUAGCUAGGUGCCACAGUCUGCACCAUGUAUCCAACCAUACAUGUUCAGGAUGACUGUGUGAGCGUACAGAGCUGGUAAAUUAAGAACCCCAUCACCCUUUUUACCUUCUCUUUUCUUUUUAUUUUUUCCCUUCUCUCCCAUUACCUUCUCCAUUCACAGCCAUUCUUCUCAUUACAAAAAAUUACAGGGGCCCCAUUCAAGUGAGCACACACGACGAAGAUUGUUCAUUCCAAGUGGGCUAAGUAAUGCCUCUACUCCUGAAUCGUAAAUGUCAUUACAAAUUUUAGUUUGAAAAUAGUCUGCACCAUGUCUACAACCAUACAUGUUCAGGAUGACUGUGUGAGUGUACAGUGCUGGUAAAUUAAGAACUCCCAUCACCCUUUUUACCUUCUCGUUUCUUUUUAUUUUUUCCCUUCUCUCCCAUUACCUUCUCCAUUCACAGCCAUUCUUCUCAUUACAAAAAAUUUCAUGUUUGGAUUCACCAGUUCUGGGACUGCAUUAUGUGUAACAAUCAUUUCAUGGACUUCCUUUACUCAUAAUGUUACAAUUUCUUUCUUUUCAAUUUCUUGGUUUAAUGUGAAGCAAAAUUGAUCAAACCACGAUUGUGAUAGCAUUAGCAUUAUAGUUAAUGUUAUAUUGGGUGAUAAAUUAGGUUAAUUGGAUGUUUGGCAAAGAAUUGGAGCUUCCCUUACUGAGUUCCAAGCUCCAGAAAUUUCAAAAUGGAAAUCAUCCAGACCGCAGUUAUGUCCAUACUCCAUAACUCCAUAUACCGUGUUUUUUUAAUGGGUGGUAUGAUUGAGUCGACUUACAACUAUCUUAACAUAGCGAUUGGAGUUACUCACAUCUUGCAAAACUAGAAUAAUUUUUUUAAUUGAAGGCCUUGGAACAGCAGUUAAAGAUGAAAGCUUAUUAUGAUAAUCUUUAAACAGGGUUGUAAGUUUAGAUCAAUGUUUGGAAACAGAUCAAGCUCAACUUGUUUGUGAAGCAUGAGUCAAGCCCAAACAAUCUACUUUUUUUUAUGGAUUAACAAGUCGAACAGGCCUAGUUCAUUUUUGUUGUUUCAAUCCCGUUCAUCUUAGCCUACAGUUAAGCCUAAUCUCUACCAAUCAUUUGAUCAGGCCACUGAAAUAAAAUCCAAGUCCUGUAAGUAUUAUGAAUUGAGAUUUUAGAACCCAAUGCUUUUGUGCCAUUCUCACUCUAUUCUAUUUUCUUCUUUGGUUCUCCCGGUGGUAGUCAUGUGGACCCAAAAUGGACCAACCUACUUUCCAGUGCUCCCCUCCCACAUUUCUCCAUCUCCACCUCUACGAAUACAACUAUUGUAGAUGCCAACUUGGCUGCUGCCACCUACUCGAAACCUCCAACACAUGAUUGAGCCUAUGACCAACAUAAAACAAAUUAAAUAUUCUCAAAAAAAUAACAGUAUAAUGCUGGUCAAAUUAAAUCAUUACUUAAAAACAUAAAAUAUUUUCAAAAAAAAAUAUUAUGUACAUUAUAGUUGGGAAAAGAAGUGUAAAUUUCUUCCAAUGUGGUGCUUAGAAAUGUACCAUUACAAACAGCAAUUUUCUUUCUAAGAUUAAAAAUGUUUGUGGCAUAUUUAAAACCCUAGAAACAAAAUAAUUCCAAUUAUUUCAAACAUAAAAUUCCCCAUGUUUCAAAAACUGAAUGUGUUCAGCAUAUAAGCAAGUGAAAAUUAUUUAAAUAAAGGACUACAACCUUUCAAAACCUCCUUUCUUAUCAUUUGUCAAGUCUAAAAUUAAAAAAAAUGCUUUGUUAAUUCAAUUUGAAUCAGGGUACUUGGACCGCCGAAGAGGGUCUCUCGGGGCAACCUAUUUUAUCGAUAAAACGAAUGAUAAUACAAAUAAAGAAAAUAAGAUAUUGAAAUGAGACAGACAUUAAGAAAAAAAUGUUUCGACUACCUUAAACUCAGAAGCCAGAAGUAUAUCUUGUAUCUUAGGAACAACAUCAUAAGAAAUUAUGUUGAAAACGCCAUCUAAAUGGAUAUUUGACUUCAAAUUCGAGGACACUAUCUUGAAUCCAGCCUUGUUAGCCCCUCCACGUUGAGAUAGAACUACCUUCAAAGACAAUCAAACACGAUCAAUAGGUAUUCAACAACAAGGACAACUAAUGUUCACACUUGAUAGGAUAGUUCAUGUUGUUUGAUCAGUGUCCUUAGUUCUAGCACGAACUCAGAUUUUCCACUUCAAGAUGCAUUAUAAACCUACCAGUCCCAAACAAGGAAAAUGUAGAAAGUGUUAUAUUGAAUUAAAUAAAAUCAAAAGUUCAAAUAUAAACAAAAAUAAGACCAUCUUUACAUGUCCAGAAUCAAGAAGCCACCAAAGAUAUAAAAGAACCAUUUUGCAAUAGCAGCAUAUAAACAAACUGGGUUUUUAUGAACACUACAGUCUCUACACAAUACUAGCUAAAGAUUUUAACUAAAUUAAGAACUUCAAUUUAGGUACGAUAUCCAUUUGAAAAUUCAUAUUCCACCAGAUUAAUACAAUUAUCAUAUGUCGCUACCACCAUCAAAAAGGUGAAAAGUUCACAAGGUUCCCACCAAUGUUGAUCUCGAAAAGGCUAAGGUAUAACACUAACCCUAGAAGUACAAACGGUGAUAUGGUAGUUUUAUUCACUUUCUAAGCAUUUAUUCAUUUAAUAGAAAAUUCAUUAAAUUGUCUGAGCUGACAAAUGGAGACUCGAAAAUAAAAUAAGUUUACAAAUUGUGCCACAAUUUCCUUAACCCCUCUCUUUGUAGGUAAUAAAUCAAAAUUAAGUCAAAUAAUUUCUAUCAAUACAAUAUUGUGCACAAUUUUCUUAGGAAUAAAACAAUCAGAAAAUGAAGAAACUGCAAAAAUAUUUCCUUGUGUGUUUACCUUUUUCAUUUUUAAACUUUUGGAAAGAAAAGAAUAUACUUGACAAUCAGGAACCACAGUGCACUGUGUACAACAUAUUGUCAAUAUAUUCUCAGCAAGUCAUUAUAGGAAAUGCCCCUAAUGACACUACUGUGUGACUAUAUUGGAAGAAGAGAAAACUGAAAAGGAUAUGUAAGUUUCUAAUUCAUGACAAAAGAGGGGCAUCCUGGCAUGAGAAUUCCACCACAGCAAGGUCAGGUGUAGGACCAAAUAUAAGCAACCCCGACCCUUCAGAAAAAGGCUAGCCCGAUGAUUGAAACCCAUGAAGCCUAGGAUUCAAUGUAACCACCUUAAAAAAGGCACCAAUCAUAAACAAAAGCAAAGAGAAAACGUAUAACAUCCUGUUUUUACAAUAGGACUAGGACAUUAAUUAUAAGUGAAGCACCUCAUAAGAACAAUUGCAAAGAAAAAAUGAUAAGAAAUUAAACUACUUUCAAAAUAAGAGCAUGUAACAUGAAUCCAACACAAGGAUAAGCUUUCAUGAGAAGUCCAAUUUUAGAUUCCAAUGACUAAGACAUAACAUUCAAUUGAGGAGAAAAAUCAAAUACAAAUGAAGUAAAUUUCGAGUUAAAACAAAAAAAAAGGACUUCUAAUUCAAGAUCAAAGACAAAAGCUUUUAUUACAUACCAGAAUAUCUGCAGAAGAUAUAUUAAGCCACUGCUGAAUCAUCUGCAAAAAAAUUUAAUGAUUACCGAGGGGCACAGAGUAUGUUAAGAGACAGUGAUUUGAUAUGAAUAAUCAAAGAGAAGUAGGGUCUAAUAUUCACAGAAGCCCAUUGUAAACGCAAGGAAGACGGGGUGACAACAAGAACAGGCCAUGCAUCCGGAAUGCAAGCAGCAACAGCAAUUGCCUGUAGAACAAAGCAACCAGUUCUCGUAAGCAACAAGUUGAAUAUCCAGUUGGUACACAAUGAAAUUUAUCAUCUCGAAAAUAAAACAUGUUAAUGUCACAAUACCAAUGCUACAAUAACGAAUAUUACUUGCUAGUGUGAGCUUUAUGUCAAACAAUUUCAACCUAAUCUGCAAUAGAGAAGAAAAUGAACCCUAGAUAAACAUAAGUUACCAUAAAGGAGUUGGAGAAUGCUGAAUCAGAAAGUAUUCUCAUCAUUAGAGACUGUAAGUCAUUGGAGAAUGAUGAAUGAGAAAAAACUCACAUGAGAGACUCCAAAUCUACAUUUUAGGAUGCUGUAAUUUUAUAUAUUAAGAUGCAUAAUCUACAAUCUGAACAAUCUUCUUUAUAGGUCUCCGGAAGUUCAACUUUAGCAUGAUAUGAGUGUCUUGUUCUAGUGCCUCCCAGUCCUAUGCACUCUUGCUCAUCCAGAUUGCUUGCUUGCUUGCUGAAGGGUUUAUAUAAUGUCAUACAUCAUUACCGUGGCAGACACUUUCAGGUUUUAACUUCUAAGCCAAGCCAUAGCUCAUAAGAACUUGCAAAUUUACCAAAUCCUAAGUAGCCUUGCUCAUUUGGUUUUCUCAUGCUUUUUGUCAUCGUAUGAAUUGUUUUUUCAGUAAAAUCCUACCUAAUUUCAGAAUUUAUCUAAAACGUAAGGUUGGUAUGAUAAUCUUAAAGUUUAAAUAGCAAACAGCAAGUUUUACAAAUAGCCUAUGAGAAUGCUAAGAGAAUAAUUAUGACAAUAAAAACUGAAUAGACAACACUAAAUGAUGGGAAACUAAAUGCAAAACCAAUCCUAUAAAUAAAAAUAUAUAAGAUGAUCCAACUUGAAUAAUAUAAGCAAUGAAGAACUUAAAAGCUCAAUACAAGAUCUGGGCCCAAAAUCCAAUACCUGUAAUGUCUUUCCAAGACCCAUUUCAUCAGCUAAAAUAGCACGUCCACCAUGCUGCAGCACGAAUCUAACGCAGAAAAAUAAAUUGCAGUUUAGAUUACACUGAAAAAUUCUGAAAGGAAAUUAAAAAGAAAUGUCCAUUUCAAUGAAUGAAGUCCUCAGAUAUUCCAGUGAAACAAUUCCAAGCAGAAUUUACGGUAGAAUUUAUCAAAAGUAAAUCGUAUGGAUGAAAGAGAACACCAAUAACUUCUAUUACAUUUGAAAUUUGUCAUGCAAGAUUCUGUUCAGGAUCAUUUUGCUGGACACGAGAUACUCUUACGAUCUUGGUUAUGAUGGGGUGUCAAAAAGUUGUAUUUAGGCACCCAAAAACCUCAGGAAUGUUAAAAAUUGUACUGCUUUAGUUAUGAAAAAAAUGUUUUGGAUUGGACACCAUUCCACAUUGGUAAUUAUCCCAGAGACACAACAAGAAAAGUUCCACAACUUACUCUAGAUAUUAAAAAACCUCUUUUUAAAUACUAAAAACCUUCGACGAUUGAGUGGAUAUGAAGAUAGCAAAUAAUAAUAUUUUACUGAUCACUAAUAAGUAAUAAGUAACAACAUGAAUGUUUUAGGAUCAUGCACAUGAGAAAAGAAGCUUCGAGUAACACAAAAUGAAGAAAAAGGUUUUUAGUUCACAAAUCAGAAAUGUAGAUUAGUCGGCCACCUAAAGCUACUAGUUAAUUUGAUCUAAUAUACCAAUUUGUUCUAGUUAAUUUAGUUCACAAAUCCGAAACGCAGAUUUUGUGAAGCAAAAGAACUUAUCUCAAUGUUAGAAUUUAUGAACUAGAAAUAUAACUGCAGAAACCCAAACAAAAAGAAUUUAUGACUCUUUCCCAUUUUUGCUCCACACCAGAGUUAAGUGAAACCAAUAGGACUAUACCAGUUUUUAUGGAAUUGUAAUUAAAAUGUAUUUUAUCUUAGAUCUUCUAUUGCAGACAUUCUGGUUGAGAACCAGAUCGAUUAACUUCAGUGCUCCUCUUUACAGAAGGUAACUACACAGUUCUCUCUUGGAUUUACAAUGUGGCACGAGCACCUAGUGUCUCCUACAGCAGUCUAAGUUCCCUUCAUCAUUUCCCUCUACCACAGUUAAGAAAUGUCAUAGAGUAGCUAGAAAAAAAGAAGAGGCAAGAAGUAGCCACCAUAUGAGAGGAUUUCCCCAGAGCAACAGAUAUGCCAGUUUGUGGACCCAACAAUUAGUGCCGAUAAUUUUUUAUUUUAUGCACCAACAGACAACUACUUAUUAAGUUUUGGCAUGGACAAGCCUGCACAUGCCAUUCUGUUGACCAGACAUGGUUGCUGAUAAAUUUGAAGUUUCAGGUUUACAUAAUCAAAUUUAGAUAGAGGAGUUGGGGUCUGAAAGGAAUAAUUUCACUAUGAUUGCCAUCUUCACAUUGUUAUUUUAAACAUAGAACUUUCACUCAAUAAUGUCACCCUAUUAGAUGUCCAUCAGGAGAAAUGUGCUACCAGCAAACAGAUCCAUCCAUUAUUACUAUAGAUGUAUGUAUGCAUUGAAAUAGAGACCUAUCUACAUUUUACUAUGGUUGUAUAUACGCAGAUGGAAGGUAAUCGCAAACUAGAUGCUGCACGCACCACGCUUACGUCAGAUACAUAAUUUCAUUAAAAAUACAUUAUUUUGAAAACCCAACAAAAAGACUUGCCACUUCGCACCUAAUUCCUUCUCGUUGGAAAGGUAGAAGUUUUGAUUCAACAUAGCUUGGCAUCCUGUCAUAUAGAUCUUCUUAAAAGACAAGUUAGUAUUGAGAAAGAAAAUGUUAUGUGAGAGCAACAUAACAAGAAAAGAAGAGUUAAGGCUAUAUUCAACAAUUUCAGUACCUAUAUGUGAAGGACUUUAAAAGCUAUUUAAAAAAAUAAUUAUUAUUAUACUAAUAAAUAAUAAUAAUGAAUUUUGAAGAUUAUGCAUCAUGUCCACAGAAAUAAAAUGAUGCCAGGAUACACUCUAUAAAAAGGCUCUCUGAUGAAAAGAAAUGGGUCAAGAAACAAACACCAAAAUAUUAAUGAAAUUAAAAAAAGGAUCCAACAGAACGAAGGACCAAUUCUAAUUUGUAACUUGAAGAUUGAAGUUUCAUUUUCAGUUCAUCUUCUAUGCAUGAUUGAGAAAUGUCAUUUUCGUUAAGAGACAAACAUGCUUGACAAAUCUGUGGUAUAGAAAAGUAACCUAAAAAGAUGAUUACAUCAUUGCAUUUCUCAUUCAAAGCUUAAAUUUUGCUUCAAAUGCAACAAUAGUAAAGGCAUAAUCCACACCUCUUGUGCACAUGUAAUCCAUAUUCUUAAUGGAACUCUUGUUUACAUGUACCUCGUAGAUCUUGAACAGCAGAUGCAGCAGCAAGAGCACGUCGGACUAAUGGAUCAAACUUUUGAACCUGGAAGACAUGGUGCUUAAAUGAGUUAAUUAUUGCUUAUUUGAAUAAAAACUAAUGUUAAUUAUGAAUUCCUAUCCGUGUGAUAUGUCACUGAUUCAAAAGGUGAAAGACCACAAGAUGGACCAUAAUUGAAACAAUUUAUCCUGUUUGAUAUUAUUUCAUUGAUUAAAUGUAUUACAGAACAAUAUCAUAAGCAAAGAGCUACAACAUGAGGAGCAAACCUUAACAUCCACACCAGCCACCGCGUUAAGAACUUCCUCAGCCACAUCCAAGGAUGAUGGAGGGAACAUCCAUAGUCUAAUGUUUACCAUUUGAAGGAACAUAAAAUGUAAAGACAAUUAGUUAUCCCACCUAACUUAAUGAACCCAAUCAAACUCCAUGAAAGUAUCAUGAAUGUGUCAAUACCUUUCCUUUCCAUGCCAGCUAGCCUUUGGGAUCUUAUGAAAUGCAUCUACAAGUAACUAGAAUGAACCCAUAACAACAACAAAUAGUUCUAAUGAAUUGUCUUUUGAAUAUACAUCAAAGACUUCAGGUGAUAUGCCAAUACAAUACCGGAUGAUAAUUGAACUUUGCCGCAAUAACACCACUGGCAUGAAGACAAAGUCUGACACAGAGCUUGGACACAGCAAAAGUGGUAUCUUUCCCUGGAAAGACAAACCACAGUAAAUCAUAAUCAUAUGACUUAACUGUAGAGAAGGCGCAAAGAAGUAUCUAAAAGCUCAAGAUAAAACUCUUCAGAUAGUGGUCAAACAGAUUCACAUACCAGUUUCUCUGGAUGCAUCCGUUGAAGAUAGACCUAGCGCAGGAAAGGUUUCAACCUAGAUAAGAAGAAUUAGGCAAAUAAGCGACUCACAAAUUAGUUAUGGAACUUGGCAUUGAUGGUGGCACAUCAGGAGACGAAACAUUUCCAACUUGAUGCCUAUCUUGUGAGUGCUGCAAAAUCAAAAAAGACAGAAGAAAUAAAUCAGUUUAAAAACAAUGGAUAAAUGGCAUUCCAAGCCAUCAAUGCAAUAUCUGUCUUUUGUGAUAUAGAUGAAUGAAUUCAAAAAAAUUAAGGCAGCCGUAACAGAGUUACAGACAACAAUAAAGAGAGAUAAUAUAUUAUCUUUUAUCCAAAUAUAUUGUAAAUUGCAGAAAUUGAAAAUAGUUUCUGUGCUUUGAAUUUAUAAAGCAUCAUACAAAUUUGGAGUUCCUUCAUCUUUAACCUUUCCUGGACUCUUCAUUUCUUAAAAAAUUGGACUUUCAUGUCAUACUUCAUGAAACAAAACAGAAUACCUGUCUGCAUUGGCUACAUGUUGCCUUUAUAUUCUAAUUUAGCUAGUUGCCUUCAACAGCUAAGGCUCUUCAAAUUAGCCAACAAUCAAAGGUGAUCAUUCCAUGACUAACUUUUGGAAAUUUAAAAAGAAAUUGAUGUCAAAUAAGGGCAAGUAACAUCUCCCAUCAUGAUUAACCACCAUAGUUUUAAAUUGAUAUACUUCAAAAUAAAACAGGUGCAGGGGCUAUGAAGCAUCAAAUUAUGUUUAAAAGGUCUGUGUGUUUCAUCAAGCACAAAACACAUUAUUGCUUAGGAGGGGAGGGAAAAAUCAAAUAACAUACAUUUAUGCUAUCUUCUCUUUUUUCCAAAUUAACAUCUAUAGAAAUAAAAAAAGUUUUGAACUAUACUUCUGCAAGAUCUGUCAAAGAUAAGAAGCUACCCUAUUUCUCCAGGUUCAGAAAAAUUGCAAUCAUGAUUCUUCUAGAUUAAGGCAUUAUCCUAGAUAUUACGUAUCACAAUUUUUAUAAAGCUUCCAGUGGAUAUUUAAAAAUGAGAGCGUAGGGUUUAUGCAAAAUUCAAUAAUGAGAUGCUAUAUCUAUUAUAGUGACGAUGGUAGUGAUGACGGGUUGAUAGUGGUGGAUCUCGAGAAUGUCCUUGGAGAUGGGCGGGAUAGAGUCCUAGAGGUGGAGCUCGAACAACAUCUUGUGGGGGGAGAAGAGGAGAGAGAGCGACGACAGAAGAUAAGACAAAGGAAGAGGAGGAAGAGGACGAGGACGAUGGUCGCGUUGCAUCAUCCUGCAUCUGCGUCGACACUGCUCUGCAUCUGCAAUAGCACCGCCAUCGCCUCAUGCUCUUCCUCCUCUUACUUUACCUCACCUCCCGAACCGAUGCAGAUGCAAAGCAAUGUCAAUGUAUAUGCAAGACAAUACAGAGUGACCAUCGUCCUCAUUAUCUUCUAACUCUCCCUUUGCUCACCUUCCAUUGCCACUCUCCCGUCGCUUCCUUCUCCUCCCCCUGCAAGAAGCCAUAGAAAUCCCAAAAACUCCACCUCCAAAACGUCACCCUGCCCGUCUCCAAGGAUAUCCCUGAGAUCCACCACCACCAUCAUUAAACUAUCAUCACUAUCGCAGCCACCACCCCACCUUGAUCGUCAAUAUUAUAAAUGACAUCGACAAAGCUAAUUAUCGUGUCAUUCUCGUCAACCACCAUUACAACAAUCACCUGUGGCCCUCGACGACGCCAUUAUCCGCUACCACCAUAACAAUCGACAAAGAAGUUUUAAGUAUGACAUAACAAAAAAAAACAUAAUUAGAAUGUUCAAAUUAUUUUUUUGUCUAUCGUUUUCGUACCAUUCCAACACGUGUUAAAUCGUCUGUCAACAAAACCAACGACGUUAGAAUAAAUGAAGUUAAAUGUUUCACUUUCAUAACUAUAAGGAUUUAAAUAUCAUUUUUUUAAAUCUAAGAAUCAAAAUGUUAAAUUAGUCAAACUACUUAUCAAAGCACGGUAGUGUGUGACAAGCCCAUAGUCUUCUUAGUUCUUAGUUAUAUUUCAAGUCAGUCCCUUGAUGUGAGCCUCAGGUUGCAUCACAAAAAUAUUUUCCUGAUAGCAGUUUGAGCAUCAAAUCUGCAAACAAAGCUCACACGAUAACAUGAAAAACUCUAGAGGAGUUCAGCAAAUAAUAAAGCAUUGAUUUAAAUAUUUACAAUAAAAGCUUGUAAUCAGAUUUGACUGAAUUCAAUCAGAAAGCAUGGACUUGUGACAAGAAGACAUGUUUAAAGAGUAAUUGUUGACCUCAUCCACAAUGGCCUAAAAAAACACCAUCGACAAGUUUCUUCAAGCACAUAAACAGUACAGAUAUCAAAGAGAUGGCAGAUACUCAUUUGGGCUUUGUCCAAAUCAGCCAUAUUUUGAGGCUCCCAUUCUGCACUAAAAAGGCGAAUAAGUAAAGCUGAAAUGAAGCUUACUGAUAUUGCUCCGCAUGAAGCCCAGCGUAGACUCCGUGGGACUGCCAUCCUCGGACCUGCAUCAGCACAACUGUAAUUAUUUCUCAUGUUCAAAACGAUUUAGACAAAACAUUUUGAUGAUGAAAGUGAGAACCAAUUCUGACAGGAAAAAAAUGGCUUAUAAUAAUAUGUACUAUCUCAAGAAGAAAAAAAAUGAAAUAUAGAACCUUCUUCAGCUCUUGUCCUUUCUAUUGGAAUAAAAGAAACAUGCUUUAGUAAAUGUAAAAGUUUAGACACAAGGAUCUAAUAACAGUAUGUCAUAAACAUGUUUUGGUGCAUUUUUAACAUGAUAUGAGCAAGUAAGUCAGGGAAGCCUCGAGGGCUUGCAUAGGUAUCCGAGUGAGAUGAGAGAAGCAAGGUCCAAGCAUAUCUAAAGGUAUGUUUGAGAACACAUUUGAUAUGUGGAUUGAUGGUCUAAUUCACAAUUUAAAUUUUAAAUAUGAAUUGAUGUUUGAUAAUUUUUUUUCAAAUUGCAUUUGGCCUGGAUACUGCAUUACAAAUGCUUAAAUGUUGAUGCUAUCUUAGAUUAGCAUUAACAUUUCCACAUUUGUGGGAUGCUAAUGAAAUUCUUCGAAUUUCAUAUAAUGUAUUAUAACAUUUUAUAAAAUCAUAAGAUUGUCAUCAUAAAAUGGAAACCCUAACCCUCAUUUCCUCUCCCCUUCUCUCGAAACCAAAAUGAAAUUUUAUUUACUUAUUUCCAAAGAUUAUUUUACAUUAAUUUAUAUGAUUGUAUUCUUCUAUUUAUUAUAUUUCUGGACCAUACAAUUUUCUUUUGUAAGAUUCUAAUUAUUUAUUUAAAUAAAAAAUAUGUAUUCACUUUUGAAUGAACAUUUAAAAUAUUAUUCAAUGAACUUUUGAAAUACAAUUUUACCAAACAACACUUACGCCAAUGUACAAUUAAAAUAUAAUUUUAAUCUAUUAUUUACCAACACUCAAAGCAUUCUACAACGACACAUUCAUUCAAGCACCUUUCUCCAAAUGCACCUUCGAAAUACAAAUGUGUUCCAAAAUGCAUCCUAAAUUUUAAGGAAAGGCAAAUUAACACCUGGGCAAGGUGAGGCAAGGCUCGAAUGCCUCUAAAUUGUUCAGCCAAGCGAAUUCACACUCGAGUAAGGCGAAGUGAGGCAAGGCCCAAGCGCCUCUAAAUUGUUCAAGCAAGCAAAUUCACACCUGAGUGAGGUGAGGCGAGGUGAGGUGAGGUGAGGCGAGACGAGGCCCAAACACAUCUAAAUUGUUUUAACAUGCAAAUUCAUGCCCGGGCGAGAUAAAGCCUGAGCGCCUCUAAAUUGUUCAAACAUGCGAAUUCAUGCUUAGGCGAGGCGAAGCGAUGCAAGGCCUGAGCACCUCUCAAUUGUUGGGCAAGCGAAUUCACACCAGGGUCCCGAGAAAGGCGAGGCAAGGCACGAACACCUCUAAAUUGUUCGGGCAAGCAAAUUCAAUUGGGUGCUGCUUAGGCGUGCCCAGUCCCAAUGAAGCUGAUUGAGCUUGAGUUGAACCCAAAUUUAUUGAUUCGUUUCAACCAAGAUAACUUGACUUCCUCCAAACCCACCCCCUACUUGCCCUGCACAAACCCUAGCUUCCCAGCCCCUCGCAGCCGACUCUCCUCUCUGUCAAUGAUCAGCGGCCACCUUUCUCCCUUUCCCAGCAAUCAACAUGCCCUGUGAAACCUCUUCCCCCUUUCCCAACAGCCAACGAAUGGCACACGUACUCCUCUCUCCUCCACCCCAUCCCCUCUUCUCCCUUUCACAACCACCGGCACUACCCCCACCUCUGACUUAACGGACAAGUUAGGUUAGGAAAUGCACCAGGUUGAUGAACAAGAGGAUACAAAGAGAUGGGAUCAUAGUGGAGGCGACAGAGGACCCAGAAAGCAAGGGCCCCACCGACGCUGAAGAUGCCGGCGGUGUGGCGCAACAGACGGGUGCACGGCUUCGCGUCCGACCGCAUCAGUUCCCCAUCCGACCAUCCCAGCGCCCGCCUCAGCGCCAUCUUCCGUCUCCUUGCUCUCUCCCACUCCCAAGAAGACCACAGCACAAAAGAAGAGGGAAGGAAAUAAGACGAUGACGUCCGUCGGAGUUGGCGGUGCCGGCAACAAGAAAAGGUGAAGGAGACCUCAACGAGGGUCGGAUGGUUGGGUUGUGGGAGCGGUGACGGCGGACGGAGACGGAAGGGAGGACGUGGUGAGAAGUAAAGCCCUACCGUUUCCUGACGCGGAGAAAAGGGGUCGUAGUUAUUAAACUCGAACCGGACCGGUUCGUCGGACCGGAAAAACCCGCAAACCGGACGUCCAGCUGAUUCAGUUGGAUGGCCAUGAUAUUUAUGGCUCUACAAACACGUUUAUUUCUAAGCCACUACCGUAAUAUUUUAUAGCUCAUAGAGAAUGUGAUCUGAUCAACAAGUCUUAAGUUUGCAUCUUUAUCAGACAUUUGGUUUUUUUAUAUAUUAAUUUUAGAUCAUAAAUUAUAUUUUUUUAUAAAAUAAAAUAAAAUUACGCAUUAAUAUUAUUUUAUAUAAUUUUUAGAAUACUUUUAUUUUUUUUGUUAUUAAAAAAUUACGCAUUAAUCCAUAUUUAAAAGACAGAUAUAAAAAUAAAAUUACACACCUUAAACUACUAUUGUUUACUAAUUAGGCUAGAAAUUUCACUUGUCAAAAUGCAGGCUGACGCUGUACAGGAAAAUCAUUGUACAACAAGGCUCGGGAAGAUUACGAAAUAUACAUAUUGAAUCUGAUUCCAACGCAUUAUCAACAAAAAGACUUGUCACCAUUCAAAUGUUCUAAAUUAAAACAGAGACAUUGUUUUUUCUGAUGAAAAACUUUUUCUAACCAAUAAAAUAUCGCACUCAUGCAAGGAAGGUCAUAGAACAACUAAUUGGUACGUAUAGAUUAACAAUUCCCUGUUGUUGCCACGCUCCAAUGUUAAGAGGUGAUUUCUAUACUUGUUUUAUUGAGUAGUACAUAUGUUAUUGGAAAAACAGAAAAAAGAAUACCGGAAGUGAAGGAGGGCCUUGUUGAUCUUUGCACCAAUAGAACGGAGUCAGUAGUUCACGAGCAAUAGGAACCUGUUCAAGUAAGCCAAAAGAAUGAGCAUCCAGAGAUUUAAUAAAGUAUCAAAUAUUUUGCAGGCAAGUGGAUCUAAGGGCCCCUAAAGAGCCGAGUAAACUGUCACAAACACAAGUGCGUCACUAGUAUUUUUCUCUAUUGAUCAGAUCAUUCUGGCAUUUGCAAGCUGUUCGUCAAUUACAAUAGAUUACAGGCUUCACGAGAACUUGUCCAAAACCAAAAAAAAUAGACAUACAAGAAAUGGGGAUAUAUAUAUAUAUAUAUAUAUAUAUAUAUAUAUAUAUAUAUAUAUAUAAUGAAUGUUACACAACAACAACAAAAUGUGUAUCAAAAUUUGGGAGUUUUUGCAAUGUGCUGAGCAUCCCCAGCUCCAUGACAGCGUUUCAUAAAGGAGUCUAAAGUUGCUUGCUUUUGAGGACUUUUGCUUGUUUGACUGGAAGACACUUCUAAUGUAUUUUCUUCGCCAUCGAGCAUCUGAUAGCGGAAAAAAAAAAAGCACCAUCAGUAAUUAAAAGAAGAAUUGUGUGUGUUAAAUGAAAGGCAACUAUGCUUUACUGAAGCAGCAAUUUGAAAGAAACUCUCUCAGAUAAAACAGUCAGGAUGGUAGAAAAAAGGGAGGGUGUAAAGUUAUUAUGUGUCUAAUGAAAAAAUUAGAUUUCUAUUGAAUACAAACCACAAAUUUAAGUGCUAAGCUGAAAGGAAUCAGAGUUAUCUCUUACACGAUUUCCACUACAGGAGGAAAAAUAUGAGAAUCAUGACUUUUGAUUCAUAAAAGUGGCAACAAGGCAGUAAAGAUGUUUACUAGAAUCCAAUGUAUGGAGUGUGCAACUGAUCGUUUUUUAUAAUAUAUUCUCACCCAACUGGAAAUUUGACACCUGAUGCAGAAGACUUGAAAAUACUCUUCAAUUUAUAAAUUAGGCAGGUCAUUACCAAAUCAGGAUGAACAGAAAUUUUAUCCAAUCAUAAGAAAUAUAAAUCAUUAUCUAUAAGGAGCAUGUGAAAUUUCCAGAAACACAACAAAUGAAGAGAUAGGGUUAUGCAGAACCUGGCUCAAAGUUUCCAAUUUGCUUCGAACAACAUCCCUGAAUAGGACUGGCAUCAGCAAAAACCAUGGGUAACCCAAGAAUUGAGAUAAUACUUACACUAAUGGCACAGACAUACCAGAUUAUGUCAUCAACAGUGUCAUUUGAGAGAAGGUAAUAUAUAUUGACCGAUGAUACCUUGCAAAGCAAAGGAAAAAUGAAUAUAAUAAUACGUCAAUGGUCAACAUGAAAUAUAGUUUAUCUUGGUUAAAGUCGAUUACUGCAGCAAAUUAUGCCCCAAAUAGUGCUAAGUGCAGUCAAGCCUAGUACCUUGUGAGAGCAAAACAGAACUACAUUAUGAUAUUUAAAUUUUGAACUAGUUCUUUAACUACCAGAUACAUAAAAUUAAGAUUAUAUCAAAUUAAAAAUAGUAUAGGUUAUAUUUCGAUUGCAAUUAGGAUAUUUAUUUUUUAUUUCAGUGAAUGUAAAUAAGAGGAUAAUAUAAAUUAUACAUUAGGGAGAAUCUCGAAACAAUUACAUAAAUAAUUAAAUUUAUGUAUUUCAGAUCUAUUUCAGAUAUUAUAUAAUUAAAUUAUUACAUUAGGGAGAAUCUCGAAACUAUUACAUAAAAAAGCCACAAGGAAUAACAGGAAAACGAGAGGGCACAGCGGAGGUAAAGAAGACAAGGAGCAAAAGGAGACGACUAGGAGAGGAGGACAAAGAAGUGGAAAGAAUUUAGGAGAAAAAUGGCAAUGAAGACUGAUAAAGGAAAAAAAAGCAGAAAAAAAUAAGAGCAUAAAAUAAGAGGAAGAAACAGAGAACAAAACUUUUAGUUUAGCAAAAAGAGAAGAAAACUAAAAGAGAGUAGAAAAAACAAAAGAAUUGAGAGAUUAUUAUUUUAUAUUUUAUUAUACAUAUUUUAAACUUAUAUUAUUCAAUAAGCCAGUAAUUCGACUUUUUGACACACUGGACUUUUUGACCCACUGUUCUGAUCAGUAAUUUAGUGACACCAAGCUUGGCAAUGACUGGGUAAGUUUUAAUAAGUACGGAUGAUAUUACUAUAAAAAAGAAGCAUUUGCAUCCAAGCCAGGAAAGAGUAUAAUACAUCUAGGUGCACUAUAAAUUGUAUCAAUACCACGAAUCAUUACCUGGCCAAUCCGGUGAGCACGAUCUUCUGCCUGAAUUAUAUCACCAGGAGUCCAGGUCAACUCAGCAAAAAAGAUUGUACUUGCUGCGGUCAGGUUCAAUCCAACACCUCCGGCUUUGAUUGAAAGCUACAAAUGGGCAUCACCAACAAUAAACUUCAGAAAGCAUGGAACAUGGGGUUUGUUUUCAAUAUAGCAUAAAAAAAUUACAGUCUGAGCAGAGAGAUGUAACAAAUCCAAUUCAAAAGCAGAAAGAAGCCUACAACUGCAGCCUUUAUUUCAAUCUUCUCCUGAAAUUCAUUUACUAAAGCUUGUCUCAUCGAUGAUGGGGUUCCGCCAUCUAUUCUUAUACAGCCAACUUUCUUUUUCUGCAAUAAAUUGAUCAUUCAUGGGCGAUUAUGACGGUGAACUGUUGACUACUAUUUAUAUGAACAUAAAAUCUACCUUAGAAAGAUGGCAAUGUUAAGUUACUUACAAGAAGAAACUGAUGUAUUGCAUCAAUCAUGGGCUGAUGGUGAGCAAAUAUCAAGAAUUUGCAGUCUGCCUGAAAAGUGAGGAUGAGAGCACACAUGAAGCACAGUACGUGCUAAAAGUUUUAUAAGUCAAGAACUAAAACAUAGCCAUUCACAAAAGGGUAAAAGGAACAUGAUACAGAUUAACCAAACGAGAUAAUUGAAAAAGAUGUACGACAGUCGAAAUAAUUGAAUUAUGCAACUAAUUGGUUCACAGGCCAUCAAUAUGAUGUCUGGCAAUAGUUAAAUCUAAUGAAACCACAUGACCAAGUAAUUAGUUCUCGUUACCUCAAUAACAGUGCUCAGGUAAUCCAGAACUGCAGGAAUUUUAGCUUCUGCUGAAUCAUUAUAGAUCUGCAGUUUAAAUAAGAGGAAGCCAAUUAAGAACCAAAAUGGACAGUAAUAGAAGAUAAAAAGAAAACCAAGAUUGUUAGUUUCACAGAAUCAUGAUCAAAUCUUUUUUCUGUACACAGAAAGAUGAUGUAAAAAGAGAAAUGCAGAACAAAUGAUGCACAAUACAUGUACUAUUGGCCAAAACUUAAACCUGAGCAAGGUCUACCAGGAAACCAUCUUUUCUGUUUCAGUACAUGGAUCAAAUAUAAUCCUGAUGACAUAAACAGACUCCUUACUGGUUAAGAUACUGCAGUAUUUCUCUCAUAACUGUGGAACAUCCCUAUUCUGAGAAUUUCAAGGCAGAAUAACCAUGGAUCUUCUAAUGUUAUUGUGCAGGAACAAAAGAAUUUCUUGUUAGAUACACAAUUAAGCACACAUAUCCGGGAUAACAGAAAUAAACAGAAAUAACCCAACAUAUGAUCAAACUUUGAAAAGCAUAAGAGUUUAAGUGUAGAAUGCCUGAGAUAUCAAUGGCAAGAGCAAGCCACAUUCCUAAAGAUAUAGAAUUUUAAGUGGAAAAGAUCUGAAGCAAGUGAAGAAUCAGAACCUUAAGUAUCAUAAAUUUGAUGGUCAAUCGGUAGGGAACACAAUUUGAAAUGCACAGGACACAACUCCAAAGAUUAAAUGCUUAUAUUGACACAAGAGGAAUGAAUGCGCUCCACAUACAACAUUAUGAACUUUACUAUUAGUAAAUGAGAAUAUUCAAAGCUCAAAUUUGUCCAUUUCUAAUGCAUUUACCAUGCCAAACUUAAGGUUUUUGAUAUAACAUUCAUCCUCCCAAACUAGAAUAAGGCACGAAGAAAGCACCCUACUAAAAAUAAGGUCGUUGUUUUAGUAAACCUUAAUAAUGAGUUUCAAGGUCAAUUCUCUUUAGCAAGUUGACAGUACACCUGAAAUGUAUAGAAAACUGGCUUUAUAAUAAAUACUCUCAACAAAAGAGCCGAGCUAAUCUUUGAAAUUAUUAUUCAUAGAGGUGGUGUCAUGUCAACAACAGUGAUUAAUCUACAAAUAAUCAAGGAAAAACAAUAUUCAACCUCAAACUAUCUAAAUGUUGCUGCUUCUAGAUCUCUAUACAUUUCAGACAUUAAUUAUUUUCAAAAAUGAAGCAUUUGACUAUUGUGUAGCUCAUUAUUUUUCCAUAUUAAUCACUUCCAACAUGUAAGCAGAAUCCCAUACCAUUUUUGGAAAAUGCAGUAUAUUUGAUCCCACAGGUACACUAACAUGGAAUAAAGAGUUCAGAUACCUUGUUAAUAAGAUUCUUUUGCAUAAAUUUUAAAGACUCCAUCUUCUCAGGGGAAUCACAAGCCUGAAUGUUCAUCUUCACUACCUCCAACUGAAAGACAAAAAUGGAACAACUUAGGUCACAUAAAUAUAAGAAUAAUAUAGUAAACCACAUGCCAUAUGUGGGGCCAUAAACAAGCCAUCAUUCAGUUUUUAUUUUUCAGAUAUGUUUUACCACAAAAAAUAGAGAUUACAAGCUAAAACAAGUUUAAAUACCUACACAAGAAAUUCUGUGAUACAAUUAAGGUAUCUUCCUCGUCUCUUUUUAAUAUGUCACAAAGAAAAAGGAAGUAAAAACUUCUUUAAGAACAACUAUAAAUAUUACACAAACACCUCCAUCCUCUAAUAGGCGAUUUUAACAUUUUCAGGCAAUAAGGUAACGAAAAUCAAAAUCAAGAAUUUUAGUGAUUAUUGAGGUACAUGAAAACAAAACACUAUAGCUUCACACAUGCAGACAUUUCAUGCCCAAAUUCUAUUAUUAGUUUGUCAAAGAAAAUGGAAACCAUUUAAAUUAAAAUAAUAACUCAUAAAGCUAUCCAUUUUGACCUAGGAGCUAUGUUUGUUGGGACCCACAUGAAACUUGUUACAAACUCAUAUCCAAUUUUCAGCUUAUUUUCAGAUCCCCCAAUGAGCAAUUUAUCCACAUUCCUAACAUGCUCAUUUGAAACUCCAAUUUCACUUUUUAAUGAAUGAAUAAAAAUGCAUAUAAAGGAUUUAAAAUGCAGCUACACAAAUUUAAAAUAUAAUAUAUGCAAGUGAAGAAAAAGAACAUACACAAACAUACAUGAAAUGCACAAACAGAAAGAGUUGAUGAGAAAGAAUGAGCAAGUAACGUAAUUCCAUAUUAGACACGAAAUGUCAAGUAAAAAACAACGACCAGCAGUACCAAGUGAUUAGAAAAGAAAAAUCUUGUAAUUUUGUAUAAGAUCUACGAUGUGAAGUUGAUAAAUCUGUGUCACAUUAAUUACUUAUUAUGAUAAUUUUCACUAAAACAAUAAGAAGUAGGGGCAAAUUAAAUCUUAAUUCCAUCAGUAUGACGUGUGACUUACAUAACUGUCAUAGACAAUACAGUUUUCUCACUCAUCAAAUCACAUCAUAAUUUAAUUUGUGGACUUCCAUCUAAAUCACAUCAUAUACAACUACAAUGGAUCAGACUCACUUAUAAGUUGCAAAUGAAUCUAAAUACAGAAAUGUUAGACAACAACAAGAAGCCAUAAUGUCCUACCUAAAGAAAAUCAGUGUGAUCAUUAAACACAUGCUAAAGUUCAAAUACUAAUAUAGGACUAGAAAUGACUAUUUCGGGUAUCAGAACAUGAAAGAUGAGCAGGUUGGUAUCAGGAUUACCUCACGAAACAGAAUUCUAAUUUGUUUCAUAUCUUUCUCUUUCAAAUCUAGGAAGACCUGAAAAUAGUGGCAACCAAUUAUGAGACCAAAUUCCUAUAACCCGAAUGAAGAAGGAAAUUUACAAAAGUUAUGAUUAGCACGAAUAAAACUAUAUAUUAAAAGAUUAAAGAAUAGCCAAAAUAUAAAAAUUCCAACAGAAUAUUUCAUAUUAAAAAUAUCUUGAGACAAAUGUAUAAGGUUAUUAAAAAAGAUAAAAUAAGAAAUGAUGUCAUUUUUGGACAAAUAGGGAUGAACUAAAACCAAAAAUAAAAUUAAAGGAAAAUCAAUUAAGAGAACUUCCACAUAAACCAUUAGUAUAAUAUGAUUCCAAGCAACAUCAUUGCCCAAAACAUCCUAGCAUGAUCUGCAGAGUAUUAUGGAUUUGUAAUGAUCUUUUUUAUUUUUGGACAAAAAGAUGAGGAAGCCAUAUAUCAGUUUUAUACAAUAUUAUAAUUACCCUUUCAACAUUUGACUUUUUUUCUUUCUUUCUUUCAGCAGCAAACCAAAAUAACAUAUUGUUCAAGUAAAACGAUGAUACAAUCCCUUUGUUCAUAAGCCUUUUUCAUGUACUAGAUUAUGUAACAGCUCAGAACCACAAUUGAGGAACACUUGCUUCUCUUAAUUCAAGAAGGAAUUUAGUCAAAAAAGAGGUUAAACAUAAAUAUGCCAUUUGAGGCCAAUUUUUUUACUUUCAUGAAGUCUGUUAUUCACAAAUACAAAAUGUCAGUUAUUUUCACACCAAGCCUUAUCCUCUUUGGAAAAAGUUUGCAUGUUUCACAUUAAGGCAUAUAAUUAAGAAGGCUCAGAUGGCAUAUGACAUGGCAGUGUAUGAAAAGAAAACAUUUCAACGAUUUAAUGAGCCUGUUUAAAAUCUGUCCUGAUGAUGCAGCAGUUUAACAGGUUGUGCAAUCUUUUAACAGCCAAAUGCAAUCUAGUGCACCUUAAUUUGAAAAGAAAACCAUAAGAGCACGAACAAAACAAAGAAUGAAGUAACAUUUUUGCAAAUUAAGUUCCGUAGUGAUUAGUUUGCUACUACCAAUGAUCUUACGAAUCAAUAAUCUUGGUUUUAUAAUAGGAUACCAAUUCUAUAAAAGGAUUAUAACAAACAGGUAUAUGUUAAGGGUGAAAUUAUAGCUUAAAUAGCUAGAUAUUACUUGAGGAUCUUAUAUUAGAAUUCAUUCUUGUGUUUUGUCAUUUUCUAAAUCAUUCUUAUGUUUCAGAAAAAAUUAUUAUGACAAUAAGUUCAUUAGACAUCAAAAGAUGUUGAUAAAGGUGUACACUAUAAGCAAGGUUUUCUAUACCACUCAGUACAGGCAAUAUUUAACCAAUGGAAGACCAAAAGCGAAGCAACCAAAAUCGACCGGUACAUGACUGGGAUGACAGGUACCCGCUUGGAAUGGGCUUGGUACCAUCUGGUGUAGGUCAAUACCAGUCAGUAAGAUUAGUUGGGGGUACGGUUGUCCAACUAAUCAGUACGUCUUCUAUGGGAGGUUAUAAAAAGGCCGGUCACACACUCUCUCUCACUUUUUUUUUCUCUAAUAUCUCUCAAAGUUCACUUAAUUCCCUCAUAUCUCCCUUCCAAACUAAUUGAAGAUCAUUAGGAGAGGUUGAUUUCCACAAGAAGGGGAGUAAAAAUCAAGAUCCGAACCAUUACUUCUUCAAAACAAGGUAAUUCCAAACCUACUCUCUUAAGUUUUUUAGAGUUUAUACUUACUCUUGUGGGAGACCCCCCACAUCCAUCUUGUUUCCUCACCGAGGCAAAACAGUAAGAAAACAUGCAUGUUGCCACAGGAACCUCCCACCACAUGGGUCAUCGAUGAUUAUGAGGCAAUGACUGCUACCACAUUAUUGAAUCAACGACACACUAUAUACCAGUGUCAACUCACAUCAUUCAUUGGUAGCAGCUCUGUAAGGAAGUCAAUCUUGGACACAGACCCGUACCAAUCCUAGCCCAUACCGGUAUGGGUCUGAGUGGGUAUAUGUCGUUGUAUAACAUCUCAUUUAUCAUAGGUGUAGCGAAGACUAAAAUUUAUUACUUUUACAGAUAAAUUUAAAUUCUACAUUGAAAAUAGUUUCCAAAACUAUGCCAAAAAGGGCAUUAUAGUGGCUCAUUUAAUGAAACACUCAUGUUUAUUCUUCAUAAACACACAAGCAUAAGGUUAUAAAAACAAACUUUCGGUUGGAAUCCAUAUUUUCAGAUUGUUUUCAUCAUUUUUCAAGUGUUUAAGGUUUUAAAAACUUAGAAAGAUCUUUUGAAACACUAUUUGAUUCAUAAUCAGAUACAGUGUAUGGUCCACCAAUUUAUGAUGUGACUCCAACCAUCGUUAUAACAUUGUAGAAUUUUUCUUUAUGGAAUAUCAGAAAGGAACUUGAUCCUUGGCAACACUGUAACUUCCAACAGCGCAAACGAAACAAAGAAGGAUUCAGGCUGAUUUGUGUAAAACUUAUUAGAUAAUAGCUUGGCAUGAUAUAAUUGGUGUAUUUGGCAGGGAGAAAUUUACUUGUUGCCUACGCUUCACUGGCAGCUGUGAGAGGACAUCUUUUUUUAAUCUGCGAAUCAUGACGGUUGCUUUCAUUAGACAGUGUAGCUCUUCAUGGUUGCUUGCACCUUGAUACAAUCCGAAGAUACCCUAUAAAAAUAAAUUUUAGAAGUUAGACCUCCCGAUCAAAUAGACAACUGCAUUUGAUGACAUAUAAUUCGAAAAAUAAAGUUAAGCUAAUCUUACACCCUUGCAGUAACGAUUCCCAUACUCAUGAACAUUUCUGUAAACACCAGGAUACAAGGCCUCAAGCUGGAAAAAAACAGAAAUCAGACUAAAACAUUGUUAAUGCAUCAUAAACUAGGGGAAAAAAUCAAGAGGCAAAAUCCAUUAGUUGGGUAAAGCUGCACCUGCUUGAACAACUCGAUAGGUCUGGAUAAAGCAGGAGUUCCACUCAGAAGAAUUGCGUAUUGAGCUUUCUGAAAUAUUAAAUUAGCAAUGCUUAUGAAAUAAUAGUGCAACUUCCCAUUUGUAACCAAGAAGCAGGUAUGGUUUGAUGACCAAAGAAAAAGAGCAGUUAAAAGCAGUUUUACUUAACAAUGUGCAAUGCCUAAAGAAAUAUUUCCUGAUUUAACAAUUUGUACGCAGCAAAGCUAGAAGGUUGAUACAAGGUUCGUCAUUCCGUGACAUACCGCCUGGUAUAGGCAAUAUGUACCAGUCCGAUAGGGGACCGAUAUAGGUGGUACAUAAUAGUUUGUCUAUAUAUCCCACCAUACCAUGUGUCGGUAUGUCAGUACGUACCAUACCAAUGAUCGAUCGAUAUACUGAUAUGGACCGGUAAGACGAACCAUGGGUCAAUAAAAUUUUGACUGACUAGUGUUAGUACUUGUAAAAGGAAUCUCACAAUGUUCAAUGUGCAAAAAAAAAUGUUUAACAACUAUAUAAGGAGAAAUCAAAAAAGAAGAAACAACAAUAGAUAAAAUAGCCAACCACUUUUUUGUAUUUACUCUAUCACAAUAAAAUUUGAUGUAAUUAAUAAGAUAAAAAUAUUACGAGAAAAUGAAUACAUCAGAGCCAUUCCCAAAGAUGGAUUUGGCAGUUUUGAAGGUCAAUCAAAUAUAUCGAUAGUGUACAUGAAGCCAGUUAGCAUGGAUGGGAAGUGACUCAAUUGUUGAAGAAAUUUUCAGUUGAUAAAUCUAGCUAUAACUGCAAACCUUGGUAGUGGUAGGAACUAAAGGAGAACUUUAAAGGAAAAAUAAGGGCAAGGUUCCAUAUGAAUGCCAUUUGCACAUGAUUAACCAAUCUUAAGUUACAAGGGAAGCCCGCUAGAGAACAUGUCAACAUGUGAACUUCAGCACAGAACUAGAUUUAGAUUUCUCAGAUAAGACGUUAAGGUUCAUGGCGACAUUAGGAAGUACAAAGACAUCAGAAGCAAGGUAUAUAGUUUCGAAUGAUACCGCCCAGUAGGGGUGAUACGUACCGGUCCGAUAGCAUACCGGUACGCGGACCGCCUGCUACCAGGCGGAACGAUUAAAAGCGCCCCGUAUCAAACGAUACGGGGUUAUAUCGGGUGGUAACGUUCGAAAUUUCGAUCGUUACCGCCCGACACAACUCGGUAACGAUCGAUUUCGACCGUUAACACUCGGUAACAGUGCUCCAACAAUCAAAUUGGCCAUUGGAGCCCUUUCUCAUAGGUUUUUAAACCCUUCUUUUCCCCUAUUUCACUCCAUUUCAUUCUCAUACUCUCUUAAACUAUCUCAAACUCUUCUUUUCUCACAUUUGUGAUCUCCAAAUCUCGGACAGCAAUGCCUCGACGGAUGAUGGCGACGAUGCCGGGCAACCGUUGGUCUCGUCUACACAACUUGAGGGUGGUGCAUGGACCGAGGAACAAUAUUUUACACAUGUCACCCAAGAUUCAGAUCAUGAAACUCGACAAAGUACUGGUCAAGUUUAUGCACGGAAUGGGAAGGGGAAGGCAAUGGAUGAAUUUAAGCAGAUGCGACAGAGCCUACAUGAUGUAGACACAGAAAGAAGCUCAUCGUAUUCACAACCGUCGUAUUAUAGAUAAUCAUACGAGCAACAGCAGUACGGUGAUAGUUGGUCAUCCUUCUCUAAGCAACAGUAUGAAACAGAGCAGCAUAUUAGUAGCGAAAGUAGAAGCUUUGACAUUCACCAAUAUAUGCCUCAGGAGCUGCCUCGGACAAAUGUGAUUCAUGACGAUCAGCCUACGAUCAUCAUCACAUUGAUGAAUCAAUGACAUACGAUAUAUCAAUACACAAUGUCGUGGAAUCAAUUUCAUGAUUAGAUCCAACAAACAUAUCAUAUUGAUAUGCAGAUAUAUAGGAUCGAGGACCCCGAUCCACCACCCGUGAAGGCCCAUCGUUCAUUUUGGUGGUAGAUUCAGCAAUCAUGUAUAUCUACAUAUGUGAUUAUUUAAUUCAUUUGAAUUUUAGAGUUUAUAUUGUAACAAAAUAGUCUAACAAUUCAAAUGAUUUUUCUAUAGAUAUUUAAAUAUUUACAUAAGGACAAUCCAUAACGAACUGAAAUACGAACCUUGCACAAGACUAUUCCUCAAAAGCCAAAAAAAGAUAUAUGAAACUAUUCUUACUAAAUUUAAAUUGAUUUUGCUAAACUUAUACUAUUAUUAUAUUUAUUUCUAACUUAAAAAUCAUAUGCUAUCUUUUUUUUUAUUUUCGGAGGAUUUUACACCUAAAUUAGGUGUACCUCUCAGUACUCCCUAGCGUACCGCUAGGUAAACGGUACAGUAUCGUACCGAGCCAAGCUCGAAACACCGGUACGAUACGAUAUUUCAAUCCUUGAAUUCAGAAGGAGCCUUAGAAGAGUUAUAUUCUGUGUAAUGGUCCAGUUCACCUUAUAAUAUCAAUUGGAUGCUCCAAUAGCAAAAAGAACACCACACUUUGGAAGUUGUUGAUAGCUGUUGAAACUGAUGAAAAAAAUCGUUGCAUGUCUACCUCCCCUUUCUUUCCUCCUCUUCAACAGCUAUUUGCCUCCUGGUUGUCGCGACCACCUCAACAUCCACCUCCUUCCACUACUAACGUUGUGUCCUCAUGCCACUGCUAACACCUCCUUCAGCACACAUCACUAUCUCCUCCUCAUCCUCCAAUUAUCCUUCUCAGGCCACUGCUGAUGCCUCCUCCAGUACAUGUCACCAUCUCCUCUUCAUCCUCAUCCUCCUCUGCUUUUACUUCCUCCUUUGACAGACAUCAUAACCUCCUAUUCAUCUUCAUUCUCUCCUCCUCCAUCUUGGGGUCUCCUUCUCCCCCUCCAUUCCUCUAUCUUUCUCUCUAGUCCAGUCAGUAGUGACUCAUACCGAGUGUCCUUCUCUCUAAUCUAGUCAGUAGUGACUCAUACGAAGUGUCAAUAUAGCAAUCCAUAUUGGUACUACUUAUCGAUACACACGUCAACCAGUGCCGACAUUGAACCAAGAUUUUAAAUGAAACACAAUCAAUAUGAACCUCAUAAUAACCAUAAAACAUGCUCAAUUUAAUAUUACAUGUCAUGUUAUUUAUUCAGGACUUGGGUAACCAUAAAUUUCAUGGGGAUUAUACUAUAAAAUACUGGAAUUUUAAAUUUUGACAAGUUUCCCAAUUAGCUUGAAAAUAUACAAAAUGACCUGUUCCAUUUUCUAUAGAUCUCUGUAAAAGAGAGAAAUAAAAUCGAACAUUUGUUAUCACAUCGUAUGUUUAACUACUGCAUUUCAGAUAGGUCCACUUGUGUCCGGGAAGGAGCUCUAAAUAUCUUUUUUUCCCAUUUCUUAAGUUUUAUCACUGAUCUCAAGUCAAAUGAGUAAACUUGGGUGACAAAGUCUGAGAAGGAACACCAUGAAUGCAAAACAAUUUUAGAUAAGUUUCAGA